rnacentral:misc_RNA from 1 species
GAUGAAGAACGUAGCGAAAAGCGAUACUUGGUGUGAAUUGCAGAAUCCCGUGAACCAUCGAGUUUUUGAACGCAAGUUGCGCCCGAAGCCGUUAGGCCGAGGGCACGCCUGCCUGGGUGUCACAGAUCGUUGCCCCAAUGCCAAUCGCCUCACUUUGUAGGUAUUUGCUUGGGGUGAAUGUUGGCCUCCCGUGAGCUUUGUCUCACGGUUGGUUGAAAAUCGAGUGCAUGGUGUCGGGUGUACCAUGAUGGAUGGUGGUUGAGUGAUGAUGCUCGAGACCAAUCAUGGGUAACUCCACCAGAAUUGGGCUCGGUGACCCACAUGCGUCCCUUGGAUGCUCCCUAAGGAGACCUCAGGUCAGGCGGGGCUACCCGCUGAGUUUAAGCAUAUCAAUAAGCGGAGGA